rnacentral:rRNA from 3 species
GCAUAUCAAUAAGCGGAGGAAAAGAAACCAACAGGGAUUGCCCUAGUAACGGCGAGUGAAGCGGCAACAGCUCAAAUUUGAAAUCUGGCGUCUUUGGCGUCCGAGUUGUAAUUUGCAGAGGGCGCUUUGGCAUUGGCAGCGGUCCAAGUUCCUUGGAACAGGACGUCACAGAGGGUGAGAAUCCCGUACGUGGUCGCUAGCCUUUACCGUGUAAAGCCCCUUCGACGAGUCGAGUUGUUUGGGAAUGCAGCUCUAAAUGGGAGGUAAAUUUCUUCUAAAGCUAAAUACUGGCCAGAGACCGAUAGCGCACAAGUAGAGUGAUCGAAAGAUGAAAAGCACUUUGGAAAGAGAGUUAAAAAGCACGUGAAAUUGUUGAAAGGGAAGCGCUUGCAGCCAGACUUGCCUGUAGUUGCUCAUCCGGGUUUCUACCCGGUGCACUCUUCUAUAGGCAGGCCAGCAUCAGUUUGGGCGGUUGGAUAAAGGUCUCUGUCAUGUACCUCCUUUCGGGGAGAACUUAUAGGGGAGACGACAUGCAACCAGCCUGGACUGAGGUCCGCGCAUCUGCUAGGAUGCUGGCGUAAUGGCUGUAAGCGGCCCGUCUUGAAACACGGACCAAGGAGUCUAACAUCUAUGCGAGUGUUUGGGUGUCAAGCCCGAGCGCGUAAUGAAAGUGAACGGAGGUGGGAACCUUUCGGGGUGCACCAUCGACCGAUCCUGAUGUCUUCGGAUGGAUUUGAGUAAGAGCAUAGCUGUUGGGACCCGAAAGAUGGUGAACUAUGCUUGAAUAGGGUGAAGCCAGAGGAAACUCUGGUGGAGGCUCGCAGCGGUUCUGACGUGCAAAUCGAUCGUCAAAUUUGGGCAUAGGGGCGAAAGACUAAUCGAACUAUCUAGUAGCUGGUUCCUGCCGA